NGCCGGGAUAGCUCAGUUGG
rnacentral:tRNA from 1 species